AACGCACAUUGCACUCCUCAGUUUUCUGGGGAGUAUGCUUGUUUGAGUACCGUUUCAUCCCAUCAUGGCAUUAUAUGUCUUUUCUCCUCUUGUUAGGAGAAAGAUGUAGAAGCUGUGGAUUUGGUUUGUCUGCAGGCAUGCUUUUAUGCCUCAGUGAACUUAAAUAUGUUGUCCGGAGUCUUGCUUCCCUGCUUUGGGGUAGCUAAGGUGUAUUUUAGCUCCGAAUGCUCAGUGAUAGAAUGAUGUAGGGGUGUAAUGCCCUUGCUUUUUUGUCAGUGAGUGGUUGAGAUAAUUAUGACCUUUGUUGCCUGUACAGUGUAGUGCUGUAUGAAAAACCAAGCGGCUUGGUGUUGGAGCUUAAGUCACACGGCUCAUUUUUGUUACAUGCCAGGCAGUGGUGCUUUUGUGGUACUGCUGAAUACCUGAACCUUUGGUCUCAAAUCAAGUAAGAACACCCGCUGAACUUAA
rnacentral:misc_RNA from 1 species